rnacentral:rRNA from 1 species
UAAGGAAUAUUGCUCAAUGGGAGAAAUCCUGAAGCAGCAACGCCGCGUGGAGGAUGAAGGGUCUAUGACUUGUAAACUCCUGUAAAGAAGGAAAAAAUUCCCAUUUGAUGGGAGAUGAUGGUACUUCUGGAGUAAGCCCCGGCUAGCUACGUGCCAGCAGCCGCGGUAAUACGUAGGGAGCAAGCGUUGUUCGGAUUUACUGGGCGUAAAGGGCGCGUAGGCGGCGCGGUAAGUCACUUGUGAAAUCUCUGAGCUUAACUCAGAACGGCCAAGUGAUACUGCUGUGCUAGAGUGCGGAAGAGGCGACCGGAAUUCUCGGUGUAGCGGUGAAAUGCGUAGAUAUCAAGAGGAACACCUGAGGCGAAGGCGGGUUGCUGGGCCGACACUGACGCUGAUGCGCGAAAGCCAGGGGAGCAAACG